CUUCCAUAUCUAUGAGAAUCACCAGCCGUCCGAAUACUCCACCUCCCGCUCAUCAAAACGGCGAACCAGCAUCAAGGUGAACCCCCGAAUUCAAAAGCGCGCUCCUCCUCGUGCCUCCGCAUCCGGCGUCGCCGAACGCACGUCACCCUUCUUCUCAACUGAAGAAAAUAACAAAAAGAAAAAAAAGGUAAAAAAAAGCACCACCACUAUCACCGACGGGUGACGCCCUACGCCUCACUCCAGUCUCCAGAAGCCCGGAUCCAGAUCUCCACACCACUAGAAAUGGACGACAACGAGCACUGAGCCAAACGAGAUCCAAUCCAAUCCCGUUCCCUUCGAUUUCUUGAUUUCUUGACGACGAUCGAGAAAGUAAGAAAUAAGGAGCGAUGCAAGGGCGGCCGCUGCCGAGCCGGACGGCGAGUUUCCGGGCGGAGAGCCUGGGUCAGAGAGCGCUCCAUCUCGUGGGCAACCUCGGCUUCGCCCUCUUCGUCCUCGGCGUCCUGGCCUUCACCAUCAUCGCCGCCACAUACCACCCCGACGACCCCCUCCUCCACCCCUCCUCCAAGCUCACCUCCUUCCUCACCGCCACCUCCUCCGCCACCUUCCGCUCCGACGAGUCCGUCCUCCGCACCGGCGAGGACUUCCUCAACGCUUCCGCCGCCUCCGACGACGAUCCCUCCCCCGCCAUCCGCCUCUCCGAUGUCUCCCCCACCGCCGCUGGCGAUUGCGACGACAAGGGCGGCCCUAUCGACUGCAAGGACCCGGAGGUCUACCACGUCAUGAUGCAAGCCUCCAUCGAGACCUACCGCAACAACCACUUCUACCGCUUCGGCAAGCCCGCCCCCGGCGCCGGCGAUGGCCGCACCUGCGACAUGGCCUGGCGCUUCCGCCCCAAGGACGCCAAGCGCGCCGCCUUCUACAAGGACUACCGCCGCUUCGAUCUCGCCCGCGGCCCCAACUGCACCUACUCCGUCGUCAAGAUUGGCGAUUACCAUACCGGCGUCAACGCCCGCAAGAAGAAGAACAAGCUCAAGGGCGGCCCCUCCUCUGACACCCUCUCCUCCUCCUCCGCCGACGGCUUGGAUCCCAGGAAUGGCGAGAAGCCCUUUGUUGUUCCGGUCGUCGGCGAGGCCGUGAACGACACCCUCCCUGUGGUGGAGUCCGAAGGCAAGUUCAGCGCCGGCAAGUACCUCAUCUACACCGGCGGCGGCGACCGCUGCAAGCCUAUGAAUCACUACCUCUGGAGCUUCCUUUGUGCCCUGGGAGAAGCCCAGUACCUGAACCGAACCCUCAUCAUGGAUCUCAGCAUCUGCCUCAAUUCCAUGUACACCUCCACGAAUCAAGACGAAGAGGGCAAGGAUUUCCGGUUCUACUUCGAUUUCGAGCACUUGAGGGACUCGGCGUCGGUCCUUGACGAGCGCCAGUUCUGGAAAGACUGGGCCUUGUGGCAGAAGAAGGACCGGCUGGGGCUCCACCUGGUGGAGAACUUCAAAGUCACGCCCAUGAAGCUGGCCGAGGUGAAGGACGCCCUCAUCAUGAGGAAGUUCGGCGCCGUCGAGCCUGACAACUACUGGUACAGGGUCUGCGAGGGGGAAACGGAGUCGGUGAUCCAGAGGCCAUGGCACCUCAUUUGGAAAUCUCGCCGCUUGAUGGAUAUAGUCUCCGGUAUCGCCUCAAGGAUGAACUGGGACUUUGAUUCGGUUCAUGUCGUCAGAGGAGAGAAGGCCAGGAACACCGAGCUCUGGCCUAAUUUGGCAAGGGACACAUCCCCUGAGGCUCUACUGUCGACACUGGGGGAGAAGAUUGAUGACCGGAGGCACCUCUAUAUCGCUACAAAUGAGCCUGAUACCUCCUUCUUUGAUCCAUUGAAGGAUAAGUAUAUAGUUCAUUUCUUUGACGAUUUCAAGGACUUGUGGGAUGAGAAUAGUGAGUGGUAUACAGAGACCCAGAGGCUCAACAUUGGGAUUCCGGUGGAGUUUGAUGGCUACAUGAGGGUGGAGGUUGACACCGAAGUGUUCCUGAGGGGCAAGAAGCAGAUUGAGACAUUCAAUGAUCUCACAAGUGAUUGCAAAGAUGGGAUUAAUGCUUGCCGCACAGAUUCCUGAACUACUGAUGGAUUCACUCGAAAAUUUUGCAGGUAGGUGGGAUGUCAGUUUGGCAAAAAUAUGCAGAGAGGAUCUUUCUUCAAUAAAUCAGAUUUGAAGAAAGAGGAGCCAUUGAAAACCUAGAACCUUUCUUCCUCUUUCAAUAAAUCGUGUGUUAAGGUGUGCGCCCUCUUGCCUCAUGAAGAGUCUUGCAAUGCUUUUUGAAUCACAACAUUCUCUCCUGUAGCAUCUCAGCACAUAAAGAUAGACUUGCUGAUCUGAUCUGGGAAGAGAACUUCCUCAAAUGAAAGAACUGUAAUAAAGAAAUGCAGGAAAGUGGAUGGGAGCAUUUUACCCCUUGAUGUCGUGGCUGAGAUUAUUCAAUAGCUACGUAUGAAGAUAAUCAUAAAGUUCAGAUUUGAGUACAUAGCAUCUACAACAACGCAUACCCUUCACUUCGAAGAGGGGUAUAUGCCGGAAUAUGUUUUGCAAGUUCGAAGGUCUUAGGCGAAUUGGAUUUGGAGGUUAUCUUCUAUUAUCGGCUUAACUGGUGAGAUUCUAAACAGAAAAUGUCUUCUAAAAGUUUCAAGUGCAUGCAUGCAGGUGAGUGUCUUAGCUUAGCUUCCUACUGUUUUGUGGAACAAUAUGGCUGAUUGUAAUUGUGAUCUACCUGCUUUUUAGUACCCU